UACGUAGGGUGCGAGCGUUGUCCGGAAUUAUGUGGCGUAAAGAGUUCGUAGGCGGCCUGUCACGUCGGAUGUGAAAGCCCGGGGCUUAACCCCGGGUCUGCAUUCGAUACGGGCAGGCUAGAGUGUGGUAGGGGAGAUCGAAUUCCUGGUGUAGCGGUGAAAUGCGCAGAUAUCAGGAGGAACACCGGUGGCGAAGGCGGAUCUCUGGGCCAUUACUGACGCUGAGGAGCGAAAGCGUGGGGAGCGAACAGG
rnacentral:rRNA from 1 species